CCAUGAUGUCAAGGAUUUAAUCUGUUUCAUUUAUUGCUAUUGUCCACUGAUGAGAAUAGUGUUGGUACAUGGUAGGCUCUCAAAUAUUUAUUAAAUGCGUGAAAGACUUACCGAAUGAAUGAAUGAUACGUUGCCGUCACUUCCUAACCCAGGCUCAUUCCCCCUCCAUUCCUGAAAUAAUAUUCAUUUGUAGUCUCACAGCUCAUCGAAACACCCAGCCAACCUGGCCUAAGUGAUUUCCCUCAAAGUGAGGUGUGGAGCUGGAUUUGGGGCUGUGAAAGGUCAGUACAUUUUCAAGACACCAGAUUAAGCUCUUCAGACCACUUCAGCUACUGUCAAGAACUCAGCAGCUGCACCCACUCUGCCUAUGGAGGGGAAUUCAGAGGGUGCAUGGCUUCACAAUAAACCUCAGAUGAUUAAGUAAAGGUGUGCCAUCACUCUAAAUGAACUUAAUAUAUUCAUACAAACAAGAUCUAGCUUUAAAUAACUAAUGCAUGAUUUCAGUCUUUUGAUUAAGGAGACUUAAAAUUAGUCUCUAUGAGGGGGNNNNNNNNNNNNNNNNNNNNNNNNNNNNNNNNNNNNNNNNNNNNNNNNNNNNNNNNNNNNNNNNNNNNNNNNNNNNNNNNNNNNNNNNNNNNNNNNNNNUCUUUUGAUUAAGGAGACUUAAAAUUAGUCUCUAUGAGGGGGAAAAAAAGCAAGUUUAAGGCUGGAAGAAUCAAAUUACCGCCAAGGGGCACUCUAGUCAAAGGCCAGAGCGCCCUCUGCUGGCUACUGGCGGCUAACAAAACUAUGGGGAAAAAGUCACCAAAAGGAAGCAGCUUUAUAUUAAAAUCCAUAAAUGGGGUUAUUACAAAAUAUUUCAGUCUUUUCAAAGAAAACAGACUGUCACUAUAAUAGGGGGAAAUAUGUAGUCCCAACUUUCAAAGGAGUUGAAGGUCUCCAUGAGGAACAGGAAUUUGGAAUUAGAGGAAAAGUAGUAAUGUCAUCUAGAACACACAGUGGACAUAUAAUCCGGCAGGAGGGGUGUGGGUUGGCGCCUGAGCUGAGGGUUGUAAAAGGAGGAAGAGGCGACCAGGUGAAGGGAGCCAUGUGCACACGUGUACAUGGGGAGUCAGAUCCAGGUGAUGGAUCCCUAAGCGCAGAGGCAUGGAGGUGAGAGAACAUGCCCAAGGACUCCAGGAGUUGAAAGUUAUGACAACUGCUCUGUCUGUUCACUGAAGUGUAGCUGAUCUACCAUAAUGUGUUAGUUUCAAGUACACACCAUAGUGACUCAGUAUGUUGCAGAUUAGACUCUAUUAUAGGUUUUUACAAGAUAGUGGGUAUAAUUCUAUGGGCUAUACAGUAUAUCCUUGCUGCAUGGUGGUCUGUAUCUAUUAAUCCAUGUCUUUCUAUACACUAAUAAUGAAACUUCAGGAGGAGACAGUUAAAAAAAUUUUUUUUAUUCCUAGGAGUUGAAAGUCCUAUACUCUAGAAACGAUAAAACACUGAUGAAGGAAAUUUAAUAUGAUUUAAAGAAAUGGAAAGAUAACUCAUGCUCUUGUAUUUGAAGGAUUACUAUUGUUAACACAGCCAUACUACCCAAAACAAUCUGCAAAUUUAAUGCGAUCCCUAUCAAAAUACCCAUGACAUUUUCCACAGAAUUAGAAUAAAUAAUCUUAAAAUUUAUACAGAAGCUCAAAAGACCUCGAAUUAAAAAUGGCUCUUGGCUGACCAUGUGCCAGCCAUUGACAGAUCUAUUUCCCUUGGUAUGUCUGCUUCCAUUCUGGUGGCAGGAAGCACCAGUUACCAAUUUUCCUAACUGCUCUUCUGGCUGGAGAUGGCCGCUCGACCCAGUCCUGGCUGAUGAGAUGUAAAGGACGUGCUGGCAGAUGGCGAGGAUGCAACUGCCUUCAUGAUAAGGGAGGAGACACCCAUGUAGAGAGCCCCCCACUCUCAAGGUGCUCCUGGAAGUUGCCAUGAAAGGAUGUGGUCCUUGCAGCUGCUGCAGCCAUCUGCUGGCCACAGAUGGAGACGUUGACACCACAGUGAGGACAUCCAUCCUUGACGACAGGACAGAGCUGCUGAACCACCCCUGAGAAAACACGUUGCUGAUUCCUCUCUAUGAAGGAAAAAAAGAACCCUUAGGGCUUAAGCCACUGCUGCUUACAUAUUCUGCUGUUUCUAACCAAUGUAUGCUCAUUGCAAACACUUAUAUUGUUAUAUUGAAAACACAUAUUAUUAUAUCAUUGAAACACAUUAUAUUACAUGACAUGAGAAAUAAUGGAAGAUUUUAAUCAGAGUGUAACAAAGAAUUUUGCACUUCAGAAACAUGAGGCUGAUAACUAUCAGAGAACAACAGAAGAGGGCAAGAUGAGAAACCAAAGGGCAAUUACGAUACUUAUAAAAGUUCAAGUGUGGAUGGGGGGAGGGGAGGGCAGGGAUUAGGGCCUGACCUCUGAACUAAGAAUGGAACAGAAGGACGGUAUUAAACAAAAAAGUAUUUAGAAAGCAAAGUGGACAGGAUUUGGUCAGUUAUGGGGGAAGCUGGAAGAUGAGCUGAAAGGAGAAGUCAGGAGUGAAUUCCAAGUUUGGGGCUUGGAUAAUAAAUAGGUGGGUCACUCCUAGAUAUGCAGAAUUUCAGAGAAGGAGCAGGUCAAGGAUGGGGAGGAAAUGAUGAAUUCUUUUUGGCUGGGUUUUGGGAGCCAAGUGAAAUCCAGGGAGCAGUUGAAUUUUAUAUCUGGAGUUCAGAUGAUCUGGAUUUAAGAUAGAGAUUUUCAGCAUAUCUACAAGGACAUGGC
rnacentral:lncRNA from 1 species